rnacentral:tRNA from 1 species
GCCGAGGUGGCGGAAUCGGUAGACGCGCUGGUCUCAAAAAUCAGUUCCUUCUGGGAGUGCGAGUUCAAGUCUCGCCCUCGGUA